rnacentral:rRNA from 1 species
GAUGAACGCUAGCGGCAGGCUUAAUACAUGCAAGUCGUGGGGCAGCAUGACUGUAGCAAUACAGUUGAUGGCGACCGGCAAACGGGUGCGGAACACGUACACAACCUUCCUUUAAGUGGAGAAUAGCCCGGGGAAACCCGGAUUAAUACUCCGUAACAUAUUGACUCGGCAUCGGGUUAAUAUUAUAGCUCCGGCGCUUAAUGAUGGGUGUGCGCCUGAUUAGGUAGUUGGCGGGGUAACGGCCCACCAAGCCUUCGAUCAGUAACUGGUGUGAGAACACGACCAGUCACACGGGCACUGAGA